UACAGAGGUCUCAAGCGUUGUUCGGAUUUACUGGGCGUAAAGGGCGGGUAGGCGGCCACCGCAAGUCGACUGUGAAAUCUCCGGGCUUAACCCGGAAAGGUCAGCCGAUACUGCGGGGCUAGAGUGCAGAAGGGGCAACUGGAAUUCUCGGUGUAGCGGUGAAAUGCGUAGAUAUCGAGAGGAACACCUGCGGCGAAGGCGGGUUGCUGGGCUGACACUGACGCUGAACUGCGAAAGCUAGGGGAGCGAACGGG
rnacentral:rRNA from 1 species